AGGUUUCUGUUCAGCCCUUUGACCUCCAUGAAAAGGCACUCUGCUGAGUCAUAUCAAACUCCUUUGUGAAAAAGACACUUCCUUUCAGCUGUGAGAUGCAAUGGCACACUGGGUCACCCAAGGUGAGCAAGAGGCCGUAAUACACCUGCACCUAUGUAGCCUGUCUCUUUGCUGGAGUUCUUGAGCACAAAUCUUUGUAUUAUGACCCACCUCUUGUUCUACAGCCACUUGUAUUUGCUGAUUUGUGACCCAACCGAACUCACAGGCUUACAGGCCUUGGUCUGGGAAUUCACAAAGCAAGAAUCAACAGCAUGAAUCUUAUACAUACUACAUACUGCACAGCUCUGAACAGCCAACUGAAAUUGGUACUUCAGCUGGUGACAGACUCUUCACAUCACCAGUGGCAGCCUUCACCAGACAAAUGAACCACUCAUCUGUGUGGACUGCCCACCUGAAAACAAGGAAAACUGAUCUCGACAGGGCAAAAGACUAUCUUAUCACAAUCUACUGCAAUUAUCUGCCAGGUGUCAACAUCAGGGACCUCCAGAAAGCUCCUUAGUUGCUUUGCAGUUGUUACUUGACUAUAAAUGUGGCAAAUUGCUGGGCAGCUAUAGGAUCUUAAAUCUGAGCAUAAAAUAAAUCAUAGCCACAUCGCACCAAUUUUGCCCAAAAGUCUGGGGAGACAUGCACUAUGUCACCUUUAGAAUAAUCUUUAUCUCUUGCUGUGAUAAAGCAGGGGUCUUUUUAAUGUCUUAUUGCAA